rnacentral:rRNA from 1 species
AGAGUUUGAUCAUGGCUCAGGACGAACGCUGGCGGCGUGCCUAACACAUGCAAGUCGAGCGAGGAACUUCGGUUCCUAGCGGCGGACGGGUGAGUAACACGUGGGUAACCUGCCUUGUAGAGGGGGAUAGCCUUCCGAAAGGAAGAUUAAUACCGCAUAAUCCAUUGUUUCCGCAUGGGGAUGAUGGUAAAGACUUAUCGCUUUGAGAUGGACCCGCGGCGCAUUAGCUAGUUGGUGAGGUAAUGGCUCACCAAGGCGACGAUGCGUAGCCGACCUGAGAGGGUGAUCGGCCACAUUGGAACUGAGACACGGUCCAGACUCCUACGGGAGGCAGCAGUGGGGAAUAUUGCACAAUGGGCGCAAGCCUGAUGCAGCAACGCCGCGUGAGUGAUGAAGGUCUUCGGAUUGUAAAGCUCUGUCUUUUGGGACGAUAAUGACGGUACCAAAGGAGGAAGCCACGGCUAACUACGUGCCAGCAGCCGCGGUAAUACGUAGGUGGCAAGCGUUGUCCGGAUUUACUGGGCGUAAAGGGUGCGUAGGUGGAUAUUUAAGUCAGAUGUGAAACCCCUGGGCUCAACUCAGGGACUGCAUUUGAAACUGGAUAUCUGGAGUGCAGGAGAGGAAAGCAGAAUUCCUGGUGUAGCGGUGAAAUGCGUAGAGAUUAGGAAGAACACCAGUGGCGAAGGCGACUUACUGGACUGUAACUGACACUGAGGCACGAAAGCGUGGGUAGCAAACAGGAUUAGAUACCCUGGUAGUCCACGCCGUAAACGAUGAGUACUAGGUGUAGGGGGUAUCGACUCCCUCUGUGCCGCAGUUAACACAAUAAGUACUCCGCCUGGGGAGUACGGCCGCAAGGUUGAAACUCAAAGGAAUUGACGG